rnacentral:rRNA from 1 species
UACGGGGGGGGCAAGCGUUGUUCGGAAUUACUGGGCGUAAAGGGCUCGUAGGCGGCCAACUAAGUCGGAUGUGAAAUCCCCAGGCUUAACCUGGGAACUGCAUCCGAUACUGGAUGGCUUGAAUUCGGGAGAGGGAUGCAGAAUUCCAGGUGUAGCGGUGAAAUGCGUAGAUAUCUGGAGGAAUACCGGUGGCGAAGGCGACUUACUGGACGACUGUUGACGCUGAGGUGCGAAAGCGUGGGGAGCAAACAGG